AAAUAUAUGUAUACCUCACCCUAGAUCCACAACAUUCCACCUGAUCUUGGAAACAAAGCAGGGUCAGCCCUGGUUAGUACUUGGAUGGGAGACUGCCAAUGAAUACCAGGUUGCUCCCACAUAUUUG
rnacentral:rRNA from 11 species